rnacentral:misc_RNA from 1 species
GGAAGACUGGACACUUUGAUUUUGAUUUUGCCUACAAUACUUCCAAUGUGACCAUACUUCUUACAAUAUCUACAUUGAAUUGGAGGCCUCUUUGAAUUCUGCCAACAAUUCUUCUCUAAGUGGUUUGUCUUCUUACAGAUGCCACAAGGUGGAAAUUUUCCUUUUAUCGACAAAUCACCUUGAUUUUCACCAGAUUUUACCUCUCCAAAUUUAUCCAACCAAACUAUUCUGCUUUCCUUUUGAUGCUUGAAUUUAUGCCUUGAUUGAAAGGCGUAUUCUACUAUCCGUUCACUUCUCAUAGUGACUCGUUGCUCUUGUACUUGCAAUUUGAAGAUUAGCUCGGCUAUUGUAAGAGUAGUCAAG